UUACAGUGAUGUAUGAAUUUCUUCACCUGAAGUUACUGUGAAGGGUGAACGCUGAGCUUUUUAACACUGAGUUGC
rnacentral:snoRNA from 1 species